GAUCAAAAGGGAACUACUGGAAAAAGAAUGCUGUAGAGGUUUGCUUUAAGAGUAAAAAUUUUUUGAUGGGGAAAUUUCCUUUGGUCAAAUCAAAUUCAUCUGGGAUGACCCCUGAACCCGAAUGACACGCACCCCGUGAAUCAGAUCUUCUCAAUUUCCUCUUCAACACAUGGCUAUCCCUAGUUCACGUUCUUCUCCCAUGCUCCAUGUACCACAACUCCAACCGCAAGUUAUUUCAACCAUUUAUCUCGCACCCACGU